GGAAGUGAAUCUGAACCGUUCAUCGCAAUUCAAUAUGAGCCGCUUGUACACGAUGCAAUCUGGGCCGUCCGUGCGUGUUUUCAAUCUGGGCCGUCCGUGCGCGUUUUCAAUCUGGGUCGUCCGUGCGCGCGGGAACGGAUCUCAACCGUUCGAUCGCGAGCACGCGGAUCGCCCACGUGGCUCCCCCCGCGUGGCCUCCCGCGUCAGUGCCUCUACCACCUGGCGCGCUCUUGUUGGUCGGGGCUGCUGAUCGGGCAUCUGACGUGGCGCAUUUUUUUCAAAUUGCACAUUG
rnacentral:lncRNA from 1 species